AAAGUCGUAACAAGGUUUCCGUAGGUGAACCUGCGGAAGGAUCAUUAACAAAAUCACCACCGAAAGGUGGUGAAAUUUCAUUUUUUUUUCGUUAUCAUUUGUUUCGUAUAAGAAACUGGUUGAAAAGGGAUUGAAAAACUAUCUAUUUACCCCCACCCGACGCACUUAUUGAAAGGACUUUUAAACCAAACCUUUGACUAAAUUUUUUGACUGACCCUUUACUUUAACAAGUAAAAAAAAAAAACUUAAUACAACUUUCAACAACGGAUCUCUUGGCUCUC
rnacentral:misc_RNA from 1 species